UUUGAUACGCUUGUGGAGA
rnacentral:snRNA from 1 species